UCUCUGAUGCAGCUGUGAUGGGCACAACAAAAGAGUCCCGACUCGUAAAGCACCGCUCGUGCAGGAGUGUCUUUCACUGCGUACAGUUGUCUUUGAAUGUUGCCCUUGGUACGGAGCUCCCUAGCGACCGAGUAGUGAAGGAAUACAUGUAUACGAGAUCAAACCUGCACUCGGGCCUUACCUGGCACCAGCGGUCUGAUGUCUGACUUUUUGAAGAGUCUUUGCUCCAGCCACACUUGUCAAACAAUGCUGCUGAAAUUAACGAGGAAAAGGGUUGCAGGUGGGUUGGAACAUAUCCCAGUGCCUCAGACCACAGGAAAGGGGCUCCCUCAAUGGAUGGCCAAUAUUAAGCAAGGACCUCCAUUCUUUUACGACUAAUCAAAUCUUCUGGAAAACAACUCUUCAACUUCGAAGCCAAACAAGAAUAUCUGAAAAUCUGAACCUUAUGAAG